CUACCACAUCCAAGGAAGGCAGCAGGCGCGCAAAUUACCCACUCCCGGCCCGGGGAGGUAGUGACGAAAAAUAACGAUACGGGACUCUUUUGAGACCCCGUAAUCGGAAUGAGUACACUCUAAAUCCUUUAACGAGGACCCAUUGGAGGGCAAGUCUGGUGCCAGCAGCCGCGGUAAUUCCAGCUCCAAUAGCGUAUAUUAAAGUUGUUGCGGUUAAAAAGCUCGUAGUUGGAUCUCAGUUCCGGGCGGGCGGUUCGCCUACCGGCGCAGACUGCCCGCGCCGAACAGCCGGCCGGUUUCCCCCGAUGAUCUUCACCGGUUGUCUCGGGUGACCGGCGAGUUUACUUUGAAAAAAUUAGAGUGCUCAGGGCAGGCGCGACGCCUGGAUAAUGGUGCAUGGAAUAAUGGAAUAGGACCUCGGUUCUGUUCUGUUGGUCUUCGGGACACGAGGUAAUGACUAAGAGGGACAGACGGGGGCAUUCGUAUUGCGACGCUAGAGGUGAAAUUCUUGGACCGUCGCAAGACGAACUACUGCGAAAGCAUUUGCCAAGAAUGUUUCCAUUAAUCAAGAACGAAAGUUAGAGGUUCGAAGGCGAUCAGAUACCGCCCUAGUUCUAACCAUAAACGAUGCCAGCCAGCGAUCCGGAUGCGUUCCAAAUGACGCUCCGGGCAGCUUCCGGGAAACCAAAGCUUUUGGGUUCCGGGGGGAGUAUGGUU
rnacentral:rRNA from 1 species